UCAAGUUUGUUUUUGUGAUCAACUGUGGCGUCUGGAAAGAAAAAUAUAAGCAGGGAUUGCCCUCCUCUUCCGUUCGAAGCUUAACUCGGCCCUGAGUGGCUGCGUGACGUCAACCCCAGUAACACCAGCAGGCCUUUGGCACAGCAGCAGGUCACCAGUCCACUCUGAUAUGAAAUGCCCUCCAUAUUUGGAGCUUUGUCUUUCAUUAACUCAUGGCGUUUGAGAUUAAAGAAAAAGCAGCUCUCGGGACACUCUGUUCACACUGUUUAUUGACCAGUUUCACACACAUGAGGACAAACAAAAGAUACACUGAAUGAGGAACGCUCAGGCAACAAAGAAGACAAAACUGUACAAGCCAAAAAAAGUAAAUGGGUAAAAGGUCUGAAAGAGUCUUGCAUGUAGAUCUAGUGGUUGAAGGCAGCUGUGGGUGGGCGUGGGUGGCCUGAAGCGUUGCAGUGCAUCAGGUGUGACACUACAAUACUGAGGUUAGAAAGUAACAAGGCUAAGCUGAGGGUGGCUAAAAACAAAUAUGUCCCCCCUUCCCUGUGAUACCACUCAGGGGUCUGGGUGUGUGCCCUUAUUACAUUUAUGAUGAUGUACAAGCUUUAAAGAAGGUAUCUCCUCAGAUGCUGCCGAGAAAAGAGGGCAAAGUGUGAACCACCAACAACCAGGAAGACUACUGGAUACAAGAACUUGGAAGGGGGCAGUCUGGGACACCCAGUCUGGGUAAGGGCUUAUCAAGCUGCAGCAUGGGUCAUAGCUGUGACGGUCAUACCAUAAUUACAUGAUUAAAA